UACGUAGGAUGCAAGCGUUGUCCGGAAUUACUGGGCGUAAAGGGCGAGCAGGUGGCAAGUCAAGUCUGAUGUAAAAUCUCCCGGCUUAACUGGGAGGGGCCUUGGAAACUGGCUAGCUGGAGUGCAGGAGAGGCUAACGGAAUUCCCGGUGUAGUGGUGAAAUGCGUAGAUAGUCGGGAGGAACACCAGUGGCGAGGGGCGGUUAGCUGGCC
rnacentral:rRNA from 1 species